GAUGAAGAACGCAGCGAAAUGCGAUACUUGGUGUGAAUUGCAGAAUCCCGUGAACCAUCGAGUCUUUGAACGCAAGUUGCGCCUCAAGCCAUUAGGUUGAGGGCACGUCUGCCUGGGCGUCACAUAUCGUUGCCUGAUGCCAGUUUCCUCGUGAUGGGUGACUGUGCAGGGCGAAUGAUGGCUUCCCGUGAGCAUUGUUGCCUCAUGGUUGGUUGAAAAUUGAGUCCUUGGUAGGGAGCGCCGUGAUAGAUGGUGGUUGAGUGACGAACGAGACCCAAUCAUGUGAGACCCCUACCGAAUUUGGCCUUCAUGACCCACAUGAGUCUUUGGAACGCUCAUGACGAGACCUCAGGUCAGGCGGGGCUACCCGCUGAGUUUAAGCAUAUCAAUAAGCGGAGGA
rnacentral:misc_RNA from 1 species